UACGUAGGGGCCUAGCGUUGUCCGGAUUUAUUGGGCGUAAAGAGCUCGUAGGCGGUUCGGUAAGUCAGGUGUGAAAUCUCCACGCUCAACGUGGAGGCGCCACCUGAAACUGCCGUGACUCGAGUCCGGUAGGGGAGUGUGGAAUUCCCGGUGUAGCGGUGAAAUGCGCAGAUAUCGGGAGGAACACCAGUAGCGAAGGCGGCUUCUUGGGCCGUUCCUGACGCUGAGGCGCGAAAGCCAGGGGAGCGAACGGG
rnacentral:rRNA from 1 species